rnacentral:rRNA from 1 species
CCUACGGGAGGCAGCAGUGAGGAAUAUUGGUCAAUGGGCGGGAGCCUGAACCAGCCAAGUCGCGUGAGGGAAGACGGUCCUAUGGAUUGUAAACUUCUUUAGGCGGGGAGCAAUGCCGUGCACGUGUGGCCUGAGGGAGAGUACCCGCAGAAUAAGCAUCGGCUAACUCCGUGCCAGCAGCCGCGGUAAUACGGAGGAUGCGAGCGUUAUCCGGAGUUAUUGGGUUUAAAGGGUGCGUAGGCGGAUUUUUAAGUCAGCGGUAAAAUGUCCGGGCUCAACCCGGGCCGGCCGUUGAAACUGGGGAUCUUGAGUGGGCGAGAAGUAUGCGGAAUGCGUGGUGUAGCGGUGAAAUGCAUAGAUAUCACGCAGAACUCCGAUUGCGAAGGCAGCAUACCGGCGCCCGACUGACGCUGAGGCACGAAAGCGUGGGGAUCGAACAGGAUUAGAUGCCCCUGUAGUC